CCUACGGGUGGCAGCAGUGGGGAAUAUUGGGCAAUGGGCGCAAGCCUGAACCAGCCACGCCGCGUGAAGGAAGAAGGCUUUCGGGUUGUAAACUUCUUUUUUCAGGGACGUAGCACGUGACGGUACCUGCCGAAUACGCCACGGCUAACUACGUGCCAGCAGCCGCGGUAAUACGUAGGUGGCAAGCGUUAUCCGGAUUUACUGGGUGUAAAGGGCGUGUAGGCGGGACUGCAAGUCAGAUGUGAAAACCACGGGCUCAACCGGUGGCCUGCAUUUGAAACUGGAGGUCUUGAGUACUGGAGAGGCAGACGGAAUUCGUGGUGUAGCGGUGAAAUGCGUAGAUAUUAGGAGGAACACCAGUGGCGAAGGCGGUCUGCUGAACAGCAACUGACGCUGAGGCGCGAAAGCGUGGGGAGCAAACAGGAUUAGAUACCCCUGUAGUC
rnacentral:rRNA from 1 species